rnacentral:rRNA from 1 species
AUUGAACGCUGGCGGCAGGCCUAACACAUGCAAGUCGAACGAGUGGCGGACGGGUGAGUAAUGUCUGGGAAACUGCCUGAUGGAGGGGGAUAACUACUGGAAACGGUAGCUAAUACCGCAUACCAUCAGAUGUGCCCAGAUGGGAUUAGCUUGUUGGUGGGGUAACGGCUCACCAAGGGGACGAUCCCUAGCUGUUCUGAGAGGUUGACCACCCACUCUGGAUCUGUGCCACGGUCCAGCCUCCUACGGUCGGCAGCAGUGGGAAAUAUUGCACAAUGGGCGCCAGCCUGAUGCAGCCAUGCCGCGUGUAUUAAGAAGGCCUUCGGGUUGUAAAGUACUUUCAGCGGGGCGGCGUUACCCGCAGAAGAAGCACCGGCUAACUCCGUGCCAGCCGCCGCGGUAAUUC